CCUACGGGUGGCAGCAGUGGGGAAUAUUGCACAAUGGGGGAAACCCUGAUGCAGCGACGCCGCGUGAGUGAAGAAGUAUCUCGGUAUGGAAAGCUCCAUCAGCAGGGAAGAAAAUGACGGUACCUGAUUCAUAAGCCCCGUCCAAAUACGUGCCAGCAGCCGGGGUUAUUCGGAGGGGGCAAGCGGUAUCCGGAUUUACCGGGUGUAAAGGGAGUGUAGACGGCUUGUCAAGUUAAGUGGGAAAGCCUGCGGGUUAACCGCAGAAUUGCACUUAAAACUGACUCGCUAGAGUGCAGGAGAGGUGAGUGGAAUGCGUGGUGUAGCGGUGGAAUGCGUAGAUAUUAGGAGGAACACC
rnacentral:rRNA from 1 species